rnacentral:rRNA from 1 species
AUUGAACGCUAGCGGGAUGCUUUACACAUGCAAGUCGAACGGAGUGGCGUACGGGUGAGUUAUAUAUCGGACUGUGCCCAGUAGCGGGGGAUAACUACUCGAAAGUGUGGCUAAUUACGUACUCUGUUGGAGAGGCCGAUAUCGGAUUAGCUAGUUGGUGGGGUAAAGGCUCACCAAGGCCAAGAUCCGUAGCGGGUGUGAGAGGACGAACAGCAACACUGGGACUGAGACACGGCCCAGACUCCUACGGGAGGCAGCAGUGGGGAAUUUUGGACAAUGGGGGAAACCCUGAUCCAGCCAUCCCGCGUGUAUGAUGAAGGACGUCGGGUUGUAAAGUACUUUUGGCAGGGAAGCGGUAUCUGCAGAAUAAGCACCGGCUAACUACGUGCCAGCAGCCGCGGUAAUUC